CAGCCGCCACGGGAAUACGAAGGGUGCAAGCGUUACUCGGAAUUACUGGGCGUAAAGCGUGCGUAGGUGGUGGUUUAAGUCCGUUGUGAAAGCCCUGGGCUCAACCUGGGAAUUGCAGUGGAUACUGGGUCACUAGAGUGUGGUAAAGGAUAGUGGAAUUUCCGGUGUAGCAGUGAAAUGCGUAGAGAUCGGAAGGAACAUCUGUGGCGAAGGCGACUAUCUGGGCCAACACUGACACUGAGGCACGAAAGCGUGGGGAGCAAACAGGAUUAGAUACCCCUGUAGUCCCUGUCUCUUAUAC
rnacentral:rRNA from 1 species